rfam:Camelus ferus unplaced genomic scaffold scaffold1907, whole genome shotgun sequence.
GUGGGUAUAGCUCAGUGGUAGAGUUGCAUGCUUAGCGUGCACGAGGUCCUGGGUUCAACCCCAAGUACCUCCA